CGAAAGUCUGACGGAGCAACGCCGCGUGAGUGAAGAAGGUUUUCGGAUCGUAAAGCUCUGUCUUCAGGGACGAAUGUGCUUAAUGUGAAUAAUGUUAAGUAAUGACGGUACCUGAGGAGGAAGCCACGGCUAACUACGUGCCAGCAGCCGCGGUAAUACGUAGGUGGCAAGCGUUGUCCGGAAUUAUUGGGCGUAAAGCGCGCGCAGGCGGGAAUGUAAGUCUGUCUUAAAAGUUCGGGGCUCAACCCCGUGAUGGGAUGGAAACUAAUAUUCUUGAGUGCAGGAGAGGAAAGUGGAAUUCCCAGUGUAGCGGUGAAAUGCGUAGAUAUUGGGAGGAACACCAGUGGCGAAGGCGACUUUCUGGACUGUGUCUGACGCUGAGGCGCGAAAGCCAGGGGAGUGAACGGGAUUAGAUACCCCGGUAAUCCUGGCCGUAAACGAUGGGUACUAGGUGUAGGAGGUAUCGACCCCUUCUGUGCCGGAGUUAACGCAAUAAGUACCCCGCCUGGGGAGUAC
rnacentral:rRNA from 1 species